rnacentral:rRNA from 1 species
GAUCAUGGCUCAGGACGAACGCUGGCGGCGUGCCUAACACAUGCAAGUCGAGCGGGGACAUGCGACGGAGUCAAAGUUUCGGAUGGAGACAAAGAUGUAUGUUCUAGCGGCGGACGGGUGAGUAACGCGUGAGCAACCUGUCCCUUACAGGGGGAUAACACAGCGAAAGUUGUACUAAUACCGCAUAAGACCACGGGAGGACAUCCUCCAGGGGGUCAAAGGAGCAAUCCGGUAAGGGGUGGGCUCGCGUCCGAUUAGAUAGUUGGUGAGGUAACGGCCCACCAAGUCGACGAUCGGUAGCCGACCUGAGAGGGUGAUCGGCCACAUUGGGACUGAGACACGGCCCAAACUCCUACGGGAGGCAGCAGUGGGGAAUAUUGGGCAAUGGGCGAAAGCCCUGACCCAGCAACGCCGCGUGAGUGAAGAAGGCCUUCGGGUUGUAAAGCUCUGUUAUAGGGGACGAAGGAAGUGACGGUACCCUAUAAGGAAGCCCCGGCUAACUACGUGCCAGCCGCAGC